GACGAACCGUGCGACCGUUGUUCGGAAUCACUGGGCUUAAAGGGCGCGUAGGCGGCCCCUCAAGUCCGGGGUGAAAGCCCCCAGCUCAACUGGGGAAGUGCCCCGGAUACUGAUGGGCUCGAGGGAGGUAGGGGCGGACGGAACUUCCGGUGGAGCGGUGAAAUGCGUUGAUAUCGGAAGGAACGCCGGUGGCGAAAGCGGUCCGCUGGACCUCUUCUGACACUGAGGCGCGAAAGCCAGGGGAGCAAACGGG
rnacentral:rRNA from 1 species